rnacentral:rRNA from 1 species
AUUGAACGCUGGCGGCAGGCCUAACACAUGCAAGUCGAGCGAGCGGCGGAAGGGUGAGUAAUGUCGGGGAAACUGCCUGAUGGAGGGGGAUAACUACUGGAAACGGUAGCUAAUACCGCAUACCAUCAGAUGUGCCCAGGUGGGAUUAGCUAGUGGGUGGGGUACCGGCCAACCUGGGCAACGAUCCCUAGCUGGUCUGAGAGGAUGACCAGCCACACUGGAACUGAGACACGGGCCAGACUCCUACGGGAGGCAGCAGUGGGGAAUAUUGGAAAAUGGGCGAAAGCCUGAGGAAGCCAUGCCGCGUGAGUGAAGAAGGCCUUCGGGUUGUAAAGUACUUUCAGCGGGGAGGCGUUACCCGAAGAGGAAGCCCCGGCUAACUCCGUGCCAGCAGCCGCGGUAAUAC